rfam:Macrostomum lignano unitig_48826, whole genome shotgun sequence.
ACGCAAUGUGAUUUCUGCCCAGUGCUCUGAAUGUCAAAGUGAAGAAAUUCAAUCAAGCGCGCGGUAAACGGCGGGAGUAACUAUGACUCUCUUAAGAAUAAGGGAUAAGGAAUAAGGGAAGAAUAAGCGUUGGCUGCAUGAUGGCCAAGGGGCAGUUUAAGUUUAGGGGUCUACUCUGCCAGCACUUGGAGUUGAGGAGUCGUAUAAGUAUUUAGGACUUCAGUAUGGUUCAAAGGGCAAGUUGAAGACGGGGCUUGAGUUGCUUAAGGGUAUGCUCAGAGAGUUAAAGGAGGCGCCGUUGAAACCGCAGCAGAGAGUGUUCCUGCUCAGAACAAAUAUUCUACCUAAGAUUAUGUAUUACUUAGUUAAUGGACGCGUGCACCAGUACACUCUUCGCGAGUGUGACAAGUGUGUUCGACGUUUUCUUAGGGAGGUUCUCCAUCUGCCGCACGACACUCCGGUGUCUGCCUUUCAUGCGUGUGCGAAGGAUGGAGGCCUCGACAUCGACUGUUUUGAGUCGCUUGUCCCAAUGUAUAAAUGGCAGAAGCUGGUGAGCCUCGAAGAGGUUCCGGACAAUUUGGUCCGUGACUUGUCUCAGCUACCUGCCAUUCGCAAAGCGGUUUCAACUUAAAGGUGCGCAGACCAGUUUUAAUAACAGAGCGGAGUAUCGGGUGUUCUGGAAGAACAAGUUGCUGGACAAUCUAGAUGGAUUUGGUUUAGGUGAAGCAGCGGACGUUCCUCAAGUCCACUCUUGGGUGACUGAUGGCUCGUCCCUGCUCACAGGCGAAAUGUAUAUUAAGUGCCUUAAAAUUAGGUGGAAUGUUUGGCCGACUGCAGCUCGUGCGUCCAGAGGUAGGAGGCAGGCCCUCUCUGUGAUGCGGGCUGCAGGCAAAUUGAAGGUUUGGGGCACAUUCUGCAGCAGUGUAAUAGGACUUGGGAUAAGAGAGGGCUAGGCAUGAUAGAAUUGUUGAGUUUGUUGGUAGUCAGGUGGAACGGCGAGGGUUCAAUGUUAUUAAGGAGAAGUCUUUUGCGACUCCUAGGGGCAUAGACGACCUGAUCUAAUUAUAUAUAAUAAGGAUAGAGUGUGGAUUGCUGACGUCACGAUCUGUGCGGACAGAGGAGCGGGGCCUAUGGCCCUCGCGAGGGACAAACAAGAUCAAGUAUUAUACGGACGAUGAUCUAGCGACUGAGGUCGCGAAGGUGGCGGCCUGGGUGCCCAGAGCGUUGUUGGCCCUGGUUUGGAACUGGAGAGGGUGUUUUGCGAGAAGAAGACGGAUGAGUUGGCUCAAGAAGAUGGGUGUGCCGAUCGAGUCUAGAAGGCUGGCUUCGGUCAGAGUGCUGGAAGGCUCGGUCUGGUGCGCGGAGGUGUUUAGAAGAGAGAACUGGAAUAAAUUUCGCGCAGGUUGGUGGUCGCAAUCGGAGCGAGUAAGUGUCGUGUUUGUGCUCCGGCGUUCGGUAACGUCCGGACCAGUUUCAGGCAUCCGCCCGGCAGUCCCGG